rnacentral:rRNA from 1 species
GGGUUGUGAGGUUAAGCGACUAAGCGUACACGGUGGAUGCCCUGGCAGUCAGAGGCGAUGAAGGACGUGCUAAUCUGCGAUAAGCGCCGGUAAGGUGAUAUGAACCGUUAUAACCGGCGAUUUCCGAAUGGGGAAACCCAGUGUGACUCGUCACACUAUCAUUAACUGAAUCCAUAGGUUAAUGAGGCGAACCGGGGGAACUGAAACAUCUAAGUACCCCGAGGAAAAGAAAUCAACCGAGAUUCCCCCAGUAGCGGCGAGCGAACGGGGAGGAGCCCAGAGCCUGAAUCAGCAUGUGUGUUAGUGGAAGCGUCUGGAAAGGCGCGCGAUACAGGGUGACAGCCCCGUACACAAAAGCGCAUGUGCUGUGAGCUCGAUGAGUAGGGCGGGACACGUGGUAUCCUGUCUGAAUAUGGGGGGACCAUCCUCCAAGGCUAAAUACUCCUGACUGACCGAUAGUGAACCAGUACCGUGAGGGAAAGGCGAAAAGAACCCCGGCGAGGGGAGUGAAAAAGAACCUGAAACCGUGUACGUACAAGCAGUGGGAGCACCCUUUGGGGUGUGACUGCGUACCUUUUGUAUAAUGGGUCAGCGACUUAUAUUCUGUAGCAAGGUUAACCGAAUAGGGGAGCCGGAGGGAAACCGAGUCUUAAUUGGGCGUUAAGUUGCAGGGUAUAGACCCGAAACCCGGUGAUCUAGCCAUGGGCAGGUUGAAGGUUGGGUAACACUAACUGGAGGACCGAACCGACUAAUGUUGAAAAAUUAGCGGAUGACCUGUGGCUGGGGGUGAAAGGCCAAUCAAACCGGGAGAUAGCUGGUUCUCCCCGAAAGCUAUUUAGGUAGCGCCUCGUGAAUUCAUCUCCGGGGGUAGAGCACUGUUUCGGCUAGGGGGCCAUCCCGGCUUACCAACCCGAUGCAAACUGCGAAUACCGGAGAAUGUUAUCACGGGAGACACACGGCGGGUGCUAACGUCCGUCGUGAAGAGGGAAACAACCCAGACCGCCAGCUAAGGUCCCAAAGUCAUGGUUAAGUGGGAAACGAUGUGGGAAGGCCCAGACAGCCAGGAUGUUGGCUUAGAAGCAGCCAUCAUUUAAAGAAAGCGUAAUAGCUCACUGGUCGAGUCGGCCUGCGCGGAAGAUGUAACGGGGCUAAACCAUGCACCGAAGCUGCGGCAGCGACGCUGAUGCGUUGUUGGGUAGGGGAGCGUUCUGUAAGCCUGUGAAGGUGGCCUGUGAGGGUUGCUGGAGGUAUCAGAAGUG